UACGUAGGUGGCAAGCGUUAUCCGGAUUUAUUGGGCGUAAAGAGAACGCAGGCGGUCUUUUAAGUCUGAUGUGAAAGCCUUCGGCUUAACCGGAGUAGUGCAUUGGAAACUGGGAGACUUGGGUGCAGAAGAGGAGAGUGGAACUCCAUGUGUAGCGGUGAAAUGCGUAGAUAUAUGGAAGAACACCAGUGGCGAAAGCGGCUCUCUGGUCUGUAACUGACGCUGAGGUUCGAAAGCGUGGGUAGCAAACAGG
rnacentral:rRNA from 1 species